rnacentral:lncRNA from 1 species
GUCAUUCCUCAUCCUGAGGUUUAGUCACCUCUCGGGGGCAAAUGAGUAGGUUGGCCUGGAGGACCUCUGAGUCCUUUCAGGUCUGACAUUCUGAGGGUCAGUAACCAUCCAGCUCCUGGCCCAGCUGGGAGUAUGUUAAAGGAACAGGAGUAUUCCAGGCAAUUUCCUGACUGUAGGUAAAGCCAGAGCAUAAGGAAACCUGGAGCUUUCUCUGGAAGCUCCCAGACAGCAGAAAUGGACAGGAAAAAGAAGCCUUUGAGGACGCCACCUCUGAUGGCUGGAGUAUGACUCAGAACAGAGCCAACAGCUUUGAGAGCUUGAGCAAAAUGGCCCAGCUGCCUAGCUGCGCUUAGCGCAAAGUCCCUAUGUCCCUUGGCCAGCCCAAGUGGGGAUGUGGACCUGAGUUUGCACCAGGACAAAACCAAUGUAGAAACAAAUCCAAACACAAGUGGACUAACACCUUUGAUGUUUGGUUCUACCUGGCAUAAAUGUAUUUCACCAGGCAUUUAUUUCACAAGAAGGCACUGGGAUUGAUGGUCUCUCAAAAAGCACAACUAGUUUGCUGGGAUUGUUGAGGGAUACAUUAGAAGGAGAAUUCAGGGCAUGGUUUGUUCCAGAAUGUGGAGCGUGGGACACAGAAACUCCUUAUGUCCUGGAGAUGAAUGAAGACACUAGAUGCAUUGUCUCAGACUCCUUCCCCACUUCUUAAGGAAUGCUGCUUUGCAGAUACUGAGGCUGCUUUUUGCACUGGCAAAGUGAGUUUAUUGGCAAAAACAUGAGGAAAUUUGGAUGUGCUUUAGGUGUUAACCAGGGAGAAUAUUCGCUGGCUGGCUUGCUUGCUUCCUUCUCUCCUUCCUUCCAGCCUCCCUUGCUCACUCUCAUUCUCAUGCUUUUUUUCUUCUUGAGGUCAGUGAGUAUCAGGGUCUUCAAAAUUCCAACAAAGAUAUAUUACAUCUGGCUAAUAUGGAAAGGCCACAACUAUGGCUGGCAAAAAUCUGGAUUACUUCACCCUAAUACUGAACACCCCCCAUCUCUUCCCCAAGAUCUCAGAUCCCUAAAGCUGCCUGGUUUGCUCUGAGGAAAACUCAGUGAUUCUCUGAAAAAAAGAAUGCAACACCAGUGACUACUUCCUUUUAUCAGUGUGGCCAGUGGGAGAGGCCAUGUCUAGGAUACUGAGGGUGGGUGGGAAAUGGAGCUCUUGGCCUACAGGCCUGAGUUGGAGUCAGUGGUCCUUGCCUCAAGCCUGGUUUGGGUCUCAGCAGCAGCAUGGGUAGGCCCUAUUCCAUAGCAGUGCCCUGGCUGAUCACUGUUUUUUUGCCCACAGCCAAUCACACUGAUGCUGAAGAGGCUGCCAAAAUUGAGGCUGAGGAUACAAUCACCUAUUCACUUCUCUUGCAUCCGGAAGCUGCAGAAGGAGAAGCAGAGGCUUCAGAUUACCAGAACCACAUUUAAAUUUCAUUAUCUUGCCUGGGACUUGGGGAAGAGAAUAAGGAUUUGGUGUUUUCUGCCCUGAAUUCCUCUUAGGGAGGAGAAGAGAAUUUCGCAGUUGCAAAGGAAAACGACCCCUCCAGAGUUAUCUACAUGAAUCCUGAAGCUCCCUUUUCUGAAAGCCACAGACAAUACCUUCUCAGAUAACUGACCUGCUGAUUUCUUCUGUGCCUCAGCACUUCUCACCAUUAGGACUCUUCUGUUAGACUUCCACACAGCCAGUGAAAAUUACUUUUAAUAAGAGAUUGUAGCAACACAGGAAAUACUUAUGUUACAGAUGACAUGAGAAAAAUUAUAUAAAUAUACAUGAUUUCAGAAAUGUUGAAACAGACUAACAUAUGCCAAUAUAUUAAAAGCAAUUGUUUCAGGGUGAUGGAAUUAUUGGCGCUUUUCAUUUCCUUUAUUUUUCUGUGUAGAUCAUAUAUUACUUUCAUAAUAAAAUACUACACAAACAACAUUCUCUUUACCUUUUAAAGGCUGUAUUAAUUGGAGACAUAGACUGAUCCGAUGCAUUUGUUUUCAAUGGUAAGAAUCUUGGGGAAUUCCCAUUGGGGCUCAGUGGGUUAAGAACCCAACUAGAAUCCAUGAGGAUGAGGGUUAAAUUCCUGGCCUUGCUCAGUGGGUUACGGACCCAGUGUUGCUGCAAGUUGCAGUGUAGGUCGCAGAUAUGGUUCCAUCUUCCCCCACCCCCAACCUCCUGUUGCUGAGACUGUGGCAUAGGUCAGCAGCUGCAGCUCCAGUUAGACCUCUAGCCCAGGAACUUCCAUAUGCCACAGGUGCAGCCCUAAAAAGACAAAAGAAUGGGAAAAAAAAAGAAAAGAAAAGAUAAAAGAAUCUUGGGAAGGUAGUAAUGGGUAGGAGGUAGAGGAAAGGAAAGAUUUAGAAUGUAGGACAAGUGUCCCUCUUCUUAAAACCAAAUACCCUUCUCUCAGUGAAUUUGUGCUCUUCCUCUUCCUUCCGUGGCAAAUAAACAAUCACUUUGCAACACCAGUUUUCAGGAAGCCAAGCUUCAGAUGAGUCCCCAGUGGAGACUGCUGACUCUUCCUGCCCUGCCCUUCUAUUAGUUACCAGAAAGAUGUGACCUUCUCAACGAAGCCAUCCCAGCAGGUUAGAAAUAUGACUAAUAGCUCCCUUGGGAGUUUGGUGGGUGCCCUUGGAGAAGCCUCAUUUUCCUGGGACUCUGACACAGCUUCAUUGUGCAACACUUUUGCAUUAAGGAUUUAGCAGCUUCCUUUGUUGGGUAGUUUCUAUAGCUUUCUAUAAUAUUCACAUAUCAGAUUUCAUACCCACAUAUUGUUAUAAAAAUAGGGAAUAGUAAUUGCAAUUACUGGGUUAUUGAGGGCUUACUUUAUGUCAAACUAUGUGCUUUAGAAUUAGAGUACUCUGGUGGCUCAGUGGGUUAAGGAUUGGGAGUUGUGCCUGCUGUGGCACAGUUUCAAUCCCUGGCCCAAGAACUUCUGCAUGCCACCAGGGCAGCCAAAAAAAAAAAAAGUGCUAGUCAUUCAUGGUUCUUCUUUUGUGAUUUUCUUAUUCACAUACUCAUGCCCAUUUUUAUAGUAACAAAUCCCUUUAUAAAUUACACAGUAGCAACUGUUUUAUUUAGAUGUAAAUUAUUUUAUUCCACGAAUUUAAAAAAACAGAUAAGCAAAAAA